GUAAUGCGAAUUGCAAGACCUCGUGAAUCAUUAAGAUUUUGAACGCACAUUGCGCUUUCGGGAUUUUCCCGGUAGCAUGCUUGUCUGAGUGUCUGUGGAU
rnacentral:rRNA from 1 species